CUCCAUUCAAAAGGUGGUUACAAAGGCCCAGUCAAGACAUCCACCAAAGUAGAAGAGAACAAAACUCAGUUCGGCACAGACAGACACGUGAUGACGUGGAGUCUCCACCGAGAAAGAUUGUCAUCAGAAGGCCCUUUUCCAGUCGCAAGAACGAGUUGCAGCCACCGCCUCAUGAGAAAAGUCCUUGGGCCAGUGAGAUUGAAAAGAAUCUCCAAAGCAAUGAAGUUUAUAAUUUUCCUUAUAGAUCAAAUUGAAUGGUAAAAUAUUGAAAA